rnacentral:rRNA from 1 species
AACUGGGAUUAGAUACCCCACUAUGCUCAGCCCUAAACCAUGACAGCCCUUUUACCCCUGCUGUCCGCCCGGGAACUACGAGCAUCAGCUUAAAACCCAAAGGACUUGGCGGUGCUUAAGACCCUCCUAGAGGAGCCUGUUCUAUAACCGAUGACCCCCGUUAAACCUCACCUUCCCUUGUUUAUCCCGUCUAUAUACCGCCGUCGUCAGCUUACCCUCUGAAGGUUUCAAAGUAAGCAUAAUUGCACAGCCCAAAACGUCAGGUCGAGGUGUAGCACACGAGAGGGGAAGAAAUGGGCUACAUUCUCUACUCCAGAGCAUACGAAAAAUGAACUGAAAACCACAUUGGAAGGAGGAUUUAGUAGUAAGGGCUAAAUAGAGUGUACCCCUGAACCUGGCUCUAAAGCGCGCAGGGAGAGUGACGGGCGGUGUG